rnacentral:rRNA from 2 species
GAGUUUGAUCGUGGCUCAGAUUGAACGCUGGCGGCAAGCCUAACACAUGCAAGUCGAGCGGCAUCGAAAGAAAGCUUGCUUUCUUGUCGGCGAGCGGCAAACGGGUGAGUAAUAUCUGGGAAUCUACCCAAAAGAGGGGGAUAACUACUAGAAAUGGUAGCUAAUACCGCAUAAAGUUGAAAAACCAAAGUGGGGGACCAUCAUAGGCCUCAUGCUUUUGGAUGAGCCCAGACGAGAUUAGCUUGUUGGUAAGGUAAAGGCUUACCAAGGCUACGAUCUCUAGCUGGUCUGAGAGGAUAACCAGCCACACUGGAACUGAGACACGGUCCAGACUCCUACGGGAGGCAGCAGUGGGGAAUAUUGCACAAUGGGCGAAAGCCUGAUGCAGCUAUGCCGCGUGUAUGAAGAAGGCCUUAGGGUUGUAAAGUACUUUCAGCGGGAAGAAAAAUAAACUAAUAAUUUUAUUUUCUUGACGUUACCCGAAGAAGAAGCACCGGCUAACUCCGUGCCAGCAGCCGCAGUAAC